UACAGAGGGUGCGAGCGUUGUCCGGAAUCACUGGGCGUAAAGGGCGCGUAGGCGGCUUGAUAAGGUUGCGGUGAAAGCCCGGGGCUCAACCCCGGGUCGGCCGUGGCAACUGUCGAGCUGGAGCACUGUAGAGGCAGGUGGAAUUCCGGGUGUAGCGGUGGAAUGCGUAGAGAUCCGGAAGAACACCGGUGGCGAAGGCGGCCUGCUGGGACAGUGCUGACGCUGAUGCGCGACAGCGUGGGGAGCAAACAGG
rnacentral:rRNA from 1 species